rnacentral:rRNA from 1 species
CACGAAGGGAGCUAGCGUUGUUCGGAAUCACUGGGCGUAAAGCGCACGUAGGCGGCUUUGUCAGUCAGGGGUGAAAUCCCGGGGCUCAACCUCGGAACUGCCUUUGAUACAGCAAGUCUUGAGUUCGAGAGAGGUGGGUGGAAUUCCUAGUGUAGAGGUGAAAUUCGUAGAUAUUAGGAAGAACACCGGUGGCGAAGGCGGCCCACUGGCUCGAUACUGACGCUGAGGUGCGAAAGCGUGGGGAGCAAACAGG